rnacentral:lncRNA from 1 species
ACAUACUAAAUUUAAUAAUUUAAUAUGGAACCACGUGAUUUAUCCUCACUUUAUAUAAUGUAUAAUAUAUUUACUUAUUACUGAUAAAAUUUUCCCACUAGUGAUCAAAAUCUCUAGUCUUUCUUCACCUGAGCCCCUUUGUAGCUGUUCCCUUUAUCUCCAAAGUAGCCACCUCUUCUUAUUCAGUUUGUAUAAUGAAGUAAUAUUAGGUUUAGCUAUUUAUUAAUUAAGUUUCCCUAAUAAACUUCUAUUUGGGUUAAAUUAAUAUUAAGGCCCAAAUUUUAACCACAUAAUAUUAUCUAUCACUUAUUAAUAUUUAUUAGCCCACAUAAUUUAAAUAACUAGUUUGACCCAAAUAAAUGACAAGUUCCAAACAAUAUGUUUUAAGAAUAUAAAUUUAAUAUUAUUUUUUUUUCAGGAUAGUACAUUACCUCCCCCUUAAAAAGGAUUCCGUCCCCGAAAUCAAAAGAAUAGAAAAUACCUAAUUAUCAAAAAGAUACAGACACUCCGCUCGAAUAGAUUCCUCUAUCUCCCAAGUAGCUUCCCGCUCCGAAUAAUUUUACCACAAGACUUUAACAAAAGGAAUUAUCUUCCUCAAAUUUUAAUUUAAUCAGUUAUUUAAUUAUCUACUAAAAGAAUUUAAUUUUCCAAACAAAACAAGGAAGAAAAGAAGGAAACAAA